CCUACGGGCGGCAGCAGUGAGGAAUAUUGGUCAAUGGGCGGGAGCCUGAACCAGCCAAGUCGCGUGAGGGACGACGGUUCUAUGGAUUGUAAACCUCUUUUGCCGGGGAACAAAGGCGCCCACGGGUGGGCGGAUGAGUGUAUCCGAAGAAAAAGCAUCGGCUAACUCCGCGCCAGCAGCCGCGGUAAUACGGAGGGUGCGAGCGUUAAUCGGAAUUACUGGGCGUAAAGCGCUCGUAGGCGGUAUGUCAAGUCAAGGGUGAAAUCCCCGCGCUUAACGUGGGAACUGCCUUUGAAACUGGGAAACGGGAGUGUGUGAGAGGAUAGUGGAAGUCCAGGUGUAGGAGUGAAAUCCGUAGAUAGCUGGAGGAACAUCAGUGGCGAAGGCGACUAACUGGCACAUAACUGACGCUGAGGAGCGAAAGCGUGGGUAGCAAACAGGAUUAGAUACCCGAGUAGUC
rnacentral:rRNA from 1 species